AGCUUGCUCCCUGAUGUUAGCGGCGGACGGGUGAGUAACACGUGGGUAACCUGCCUGUAAGACUGGGAUAACUCCGGGAAACCGGGGCUAAUACCGGAUGGUUGUUUGAACCGCAUGGUUCAAACAUAAAAGGUGGCUUCGGCUACCACUUACAGAUGGACCCGCGGCGCAUUAGCUAGUUGGUGAGGUAACGGCUCACCAAGGCAACGAUGCGUAGCCGACCUGAGAGGGUGAUCGGCCACACUGGGACUGAGACACGGCCCAGACUCCUACGGGAGGCAGCAGUAGGGAAUCUUCCGCAAUGGACGAAAGUCUGACGGAGCAACGCCGCGUGAGUGAUGAAGGUUUUCGGAUCGUAAAGCUCUGUUGUUAGGGAAGAACAAGUACCGUUCGAAUAGGGCGGUACCUUGACGGUACCUAACCAGAAAGCCACGGCUAACUACGUGCCAGCAGCCGCGGUAAUACGUAGGUGGCAAGCGUUGUCCGGAAUUAUUGGGCGUAAAGGGCUCGCAGGCGGUUUCUUAAGUCUGAUGUGAAAGCCCCCGGCUCAACCGGGGAGGGUCAUUGGAAACUGGGGAACUUGAGUGCAGAAGAGGAGAGUGGAAUUCCACGUGUAGCGGUGAAAUGCGUAGAGAUGUGGAGGAACACCAGUGGCGAAGGCGACUCUCUGGUCUGUAACUGACGCUGAGGAGCGAAAGCGUGGGGAGCGAACAGGAUUAGAUACCCUGGUAGUCCA
rnacentral:rRNA from 1 species